AGGAAGUAAAAGUCGUAACAAGGUCUCCGUUGGUGAACCAGCGGAGGGAUCAUAUCGAGUUACCACUCUAUAACCCUUUGUGAACAUACCUACAUGUUGCUUCGGCGGUCGGCCCCCCGGGCCCCCGGCCCCGCUCACGCGGGGCGUCCGCCGGAGGAUAACCAAACUCUGAUUAACGACGUUUCUUCUGAGUGGCACAAGCAAAUAAUCAAAACUUUUAACAACGGAUCUCUUGGUUCUGGCAUCGAUGAAGAACGCAGCGAAAUGCGAUAAGUAAUGUGAAUUGCAGAAUUCAGUGAAUCAUCGAAUCUUUGAACGCACAUUGCGCCCGCCAGCAUUCUGGCGGGCAUGCCUGUUCGAGCGUCAUUUCAACCCUCAAGCACUGCUUGGUGUUGGGGCUCUACGGUUGACGUAGGCCCCCAAAACUAGUGGCGGACCCUCUCGGAGCCUCCUUUGCGUAGUAACUUUUGUCUCGCACUGGGAUUCGGAGGGAUUCUAGCCGUUAACCCCCAUUUUCUAAAGGUUGACCUCGGAUCAGGUAGGAAUACCCGCUGAACUUAAGCAUAUCAAUACG
rnacentral:rRNA from 1 species